GAUGAACGCUGGCGGCGUGCCUAAUACAUGCAAGUCGAGCGAACAGAUGAGGAUCUUGCUCCUCUGACGUUAGCGGCGGACGGGUGAGUAACACGUGGAUAACCUACCUAUAAGACUGGGAUAACUUCGGGAAACCGGAGCUAAUACCGGAUAAUAUAUUGAACCGCAUGGUUCAAUAGUGAAAGACGGUUUUGCUGUCACUUAUAGAUGGAUCCGCGCCGCAUUAGCUAGUUGGUAAGGUAACGGCUUACCAAGGCAACGAUGCGUAGCCGACCUGAGAGGGUGAUCGGCCACACUGGAACUGAGACACGGUCCAGACUCCUACGGGAGGCAGCAGUAGGGAAUCUUCCGCAAUGGGCGAAAGCCUGACGGAGCAGCGCCGCGUGAGUGAUGAAGGUCUUCGGAUCGUAAAACUCUGUUAUUAGGGAAGAACAAAUGUGUAAGUAACUAUGCACGUCUUGACGGUACCUAAUCAGAAAGCCACGGCUAACUACGUG
rnacentral:rRNA from 1 species